UAUUGCACAAUGGGGGAAACCCUGAUGCAGCGACGCCGCGAGAGGGAAGACGGUUUUCGGAUNGUAAACCUCUGUCUUUGGGGACNNAANNNGNCGGUACCCAAGGAGGAAGCUCCGGCUAACUACGUGCNNNCNGCCUCGGUAAUACGUAGGGAGCAAGCGUUGUCCGGAAUUACUGGGUGUAAAGGGAGCGUAGGCGGGAUAGUAAGUUGAUUGUUAAAACUAUCGGCUCAACUGAUAGAUGCGAUCAAAACUGCAAUUCUUGAGUGAAGUAGAGGCAGGCGAAAUUCCUAGUGUAGCGGUGAAAUGCGUAGAUAUUAGGAGGAACACCAGUGGCGAAGGCGGCCUGCUGGGCUUUAACUGACGCUGAGGCUCGAAAGUGUGGGUAGCAAACAGG
rnacentral:rRNA from 1 species